GGCAAUGAUAACUCAGUGGUUAAGACGUUGGAUAACUGAUUGGAAGGUCAUGAGUUCAAAUCCCAGCAUUGCCA